AAUUCUCACCACUCCUUUCUCUCUCUGUCGACGACAUGCUCCGUCCAUGAUUUUCCACCUACCCGAGUACUCCUACCGGUGAAUCUCGCCGCUGCAAGGCCGUAGGGCGGCCACGCAGCGCUGCGAGUUCCACUCCCUCCUUCCCUGCUCCCUUCUCCAAUCCUUCAUGGAUUCCAACACCAUGCUGGGCAGUUGCUGUGAGGCGUGCUGCGACGUUGCCGCCGUGCUUGCAAGCCGGUGCGACACCGCCGUCGUGCUGCGACAGUCUGCGGCAAGGUUGUUGGGAGCCGCUGUUGCGAGUGGCGCCAGCCGACGAUGCUUGCAAACAGGUGGUGCUGCGACGGAUGCUGCGACGGCGCCGUCGUACUCCGACGACAUCUCGGCCGCAACGAUGUUACUGUGAUGGAUUUUGCGAUGGUUGCUGCGAUGACGUUGUCGUGCUCCGACGACAUCGACGAAUGCUGCGACGGAUGUUGCUUCGGUGGCUCGGGCUACUCUGACGAUGCUGCGACGGCGUGCUGCGACGGCGCCACUGUGCUGUGAGCCGGUGGCAAAGCCACCGGAGUUGCUGUGACGGCGGAGUGCCUGUGAGCUGAUGUUGCCGGCGUCCUGUGAUGCACUGGAGUUUGCUACGCAUGCGAGAAAUGUGUGUGCGACGUUCUGCAACGAGAAGAAAGAAGAGAGAAGACUAUGUUACGUUGACUUCCAUCGAAAGGCUAGGAAAGUCCAGAUCGUAUGGUCCAGAAGUUGUUUUGCUUUCCUGCAUCCGGAUGCCGCCUAGCAGCGGCCAAACCUAGCCCUGCUCUGUACCGCCACCCGACCUGCGCGCCGCCACCCCCGACCUGCGCACCGCCGGCACAACCCGCCCGCCGGUCCCCUCGCACCACCACCGACCCCCGGUCGCUUAGCCGCAGUAGCAGAAGCGCCGUCCGCGACGGAGGAGCAUCGUCCGCCACCGAGGAGCAGCAGCGCCAUCCGCCGCCAAGGAUCCCCCGCGCCGGGAAGCAGCAGGACCGUCCGCCCAAGGAUCCGCGGCCCCGAUGGCUGCUGAGGAGCCGCCCGCCAUUCUUCUUCCAACAUAGGCAACGUCUGUCCCGGUUGACUCCAGUUACCUAGCACCUCCUCCAGAUCUUAACUGGUAGGAUGCAAAAAUUUCCAUGUGCUGGCUACAUAUCCAGUUAUAUCUGUUCAUGCCUGUGAUUUUUCUUCACGAGCUUUUCAUAUUUAGAACUUCAUAUACCAGAGAUGCAAAUUUGCAGAAACUGUAAUAGUCCUGGAGAAAGACCGAACUCCAUAAUAUAUAGGUUAUUCUGUAUAUUUCCUAGUUUCAGUGAGCCAUCUGAAUCUCUUAAAUGCGUUUCAGUGUGCCUAUGAGAAUAGAAUCACAUAAUGUUUCAUAGUACAUUGUUCAAUGUAUUUGUGGGCAUCAAGCUGUGAGUGAUAUAUUUGAUCAUGUUUCAACUCUGUAUGUGCAAUAAGACUAGCUAAGAGAGAAAAUUACAUUUCCUGCUAAAUGAUCAUCACUUAUACAUGACUUUUUGAAGCUGGGGUGUAUGGAAUCAGAUGGUAGACAAACUCAUUCUGCAAAUUGACUAUUAUUCAGAAUGGUGCCAUGAUUUGAUUUUGUCGUAUCCUAGUCCAACUUAUCUAGCAUUGCAGCAGCUGCCUACAUGAUGAGGGCCCUUGAACAUACCUGGGCCGUUUAUCUGUAAAAUCUGGUUCAACUUUUGCUGCUGUAUUUAGCUUGCUUGUCUCACAUGCAUGUUUCUUGAGUUCGAGUGACAAAGUAAAACUGAUUUGAUUUUAUUGGAGGUUCCCAACAUAGUUUUUCUUUUUUCAUAAUUUUUUGUUAAACUGAUUUGAUUUUAUUCCCGCUUUAUGUAUUGUGUUUCUUCUUAAAUUGACUUAGAUUCUGAUAUUGCCUACACCAUGGCACAAUGAUGAAUUCUAGGAAGGAUGCUCAUGGAAGGAAAGGCUAUGUUGUCUUAACAAGGAUGAAAAGUAUAACAACAUACACAAACCAACGUGGACAACCCAGAUCUGGACAGAUGGGACCUGGAAGAUACAUCAGAAACAGAAGAAAAAGUUCUCAAAAUUGCGAAAGAGCGAUAUAGAGGCUGGCGAUCAACUGUAAGCUCCACUUACAAGGCAUACAAAACAGAUGCAGCUAGAUUGGCUAAUCUCCCGGAAGAUUUACAUUCACAAGAGUGGGAAUGGAUGAUUGACUACUUUGUCACUGAUUCAUAAUUUCAGGAACGCAGCUGAAAGAGCACUGGUAAUCGUAAGAAAUAGAAGACAACACACAAAAUUGGAUCAAAACCUUACUCGCAACUAAGUUUUGAGAAGAGAAACUUGGAAACUGGAGAAGAGCCGGAUUGGAUUGCUCUAUGGGAACACACCCACACAAAGAAUGGAACAUGGUCUAACAGAGUCCCAGGAUGUCUAUGAUCCAAAGAACUAGCUCGACUGGACUCUAGAUCACAAACAAUUUAGUCUUGGCACUUAAUUAGGAUGGCUAAAUUACAUUUGAGUUUCAUUUAAUGGAUAUUUGCUAUGAAAAUUAUGAAUUUUAUGGAUCUACAUAUUAUACGUAUGGUUUUGAAUAUUGUAAUUAAAUGCUUGUAUUUUUCUUAGGUUGCAAUAGGCUAUUGCCACAACCCA